UCGACGUAGUGUAAACGUACGUCUACCACUCGAAGGUGGUAUUGUGAAAUCAACAAAUUAUUACUAUGGUUAACGUAAAUUUUCGUUCGCAAAUUACUAUUUUGUCCUUACACCGAGGCGUAUGUUUAUGAAAUUGUACAUAAGUUAAAUAAUAUCAACUCAUGGAUACAAUAUGAUCAAGUAUCAUUUGUUGUUUCUAUGAUGCUUACAACACUAAAUGAAAAUUAAAGUAUUGGCUAUAAGGCUGGUAUACUUCUAGACAAAUUUCUUACAGAAGACUUGUUAUUAAGUGAUUCGUUUUUAUUGGGAAUUAACAAAGCAAUGGAUGACUCAGAAAUAAAGAUAGAACUUCCAAGAUUAUCAGAUUUAUUAUUUGACAUCACUAGUAGA